rnacentral:pre_miRNA from 1 species
GUGUAGGGCAAUCUGUCUUUAAGUAGGUAUAAAUUAGGCUAAAAGGAACAAACCCUAGUUUGCCCUUCAAGUCAAGCAUCUUGU